GCUGGGUGAGGUGGUGCGUGCCUGUAAUUCCAGCAACUCAGAAGGCUGAGGCAGGAGGAUUGCAAGUUUGAGGUCAGCCUCAGCAACUUAGUAAAACCCUGUAUUAA
rnacentral:sRNA from 1 species